rnacentral:lncRNA from 10 species
AAGGGAUGAUGGAGAAUCUUGACAGACCAUGGUGGAGGUGACCAGAGGUAGCCACAGAUGCAGAGGAGUCAUCUGUGCUUGGAAGUUUAUUGCAGUUCUGAUGUUGAAGGACAUUAUGCCAAGAGACUGCACGGAGAGCCUUGUGUACUGCCCUUGUCUAGAUAUGUGCUACCAGGAAGUCCAAGAAGUUAAUGCCUUGUGGCACCAAUCUUUAACUAAUAGAAGAAGCAAGUGAAUAAUUUAUUGCUGCUUUCUUCCGUUCCAAAGGUGCAAUUCCAAGGCAUGUUGUAUGCAUCUUAGUGGCGUUUUCCUGCAGGUUGGCCAACUAGCAGCACCCAGGGCCAUCAGUGCAUAGAUUCUCCCACAUGUUUUGUCUUACUCUUCUUGCUCCUUACUCCUAUCUCUGGGUUCGAACCCCUAAUAAUGGAUUUGUAUGUACACAUCCACUGCAUUUAAUGCUGCUGUCUGGGGAAAAGCAGAUCUAUAUCCCUGUAAUCUCUAUCUGGGCACACUCAGUAAAUGUCCACUGUUUCCCUCAAACCAGAAACAGUGAGCCAUAAUUGACAUUUCUCUUUCCCUCUCACCUCUCAAAACAUCUGAUUUAGCCUCCAAUUUCUGUUGGGUUUGUCUUGAUCUCUCUUGAGUUGAUUCCAUUCUUUAUGUUUCCACAGCCAUUGAUUUAUGUCCAUACAAACAUUACAUUGCCAUAAUUGCUACUAUAGAAUCCCAGAGCUGGAACCCAAUUCUAUUCUUGGUUGUCAUUAUAACGCAUUUCUGAGAUUGAGAGACACCAUCUUCUUAUGCCUACAGUGACCAGUCAUCUUCAGUUGCUCAGGUCUAAGGUGUUCUGAGGAUGUGGGCAUUCAGUUCUAAAACUAAAGAGCCCCAGGAAAACCAAGAUAAGCUGGUCACUCUUUCUUAGGAAGCCUACAAUGGCUUCUAUGAAUGUUAGAGUGAGCGUCAAAUUUCUUAGUCUUGCCACCAAAACUUUCAGCUUACUUUCUGACUUCACCUGUGGACAUAUUUUCAUGACUCAUUUUGCUUCAAGAAUUAAAAUUCUUGUGUUUUCUCAAACAGGUCACACUUAACUGCCUGGUUCUUCACUACUCUGAAUGCCUUUUCCCACAUUUUCACCAAUAAAAUGACUCCUUCCAUGAAAGAUUUUAAGUUGAUGGAGAAGUUUAGGGGCUCCUAUUAUAACCAUUGCAUAGAUAUAUUUUAUCCUUUAUCCAUUUUAGACUAAUCUUUGACCCGUGUUUCAUCCACUCCUUUUAGAUGGUGAGUUUCUUGAAAGCAGGGACUCAACUUUUUCAAUUAGUAUGGUUUGAGUGUUUUUGUGUCUUCCAAAAUUCAUGUCGAAAGUUAAUCCACAAUGCAAUAGUAUUAAGAGGCAGGGCCUGUAGAGGUGAUGAGGUCAUGAAGGCUCUGCCCUCACAAAUGGGAUUAGUGCUCUUAUAAAAGGGCUUGAGGGAGUCAUCUUGGCCCUUUUUGCCCUUCUUCCAUUUAAGAACACAGUGUUCCUCUCUUCUUGGAUGUGAGAAUGCAGAAAGAAGGCACCAUCUUGGAAGCAGAGAGUGAAAUCGCAUCAGAAACUGAAUCUGCUUGCACCUGGAGCUUGGACUUCACAACCUACACAACCUUCACAACCCUAGAACUCUGAGAAAUAAAUUUCUUUUAUUUAUAAAUAAGGUAUUUUGUUAUAGCAGCUGAAACAGACUGAAACCCUAACUUUGAAUAUUUUAUGUUAUUAUGCAUGGUAUAUUGUAAAGUAUAUCGCAUGAUGAUAUAAAUAUGUUAUAGUAUGUGAUGAUAUAGUGGGUUUGUGUUCUGUCUUCUGUACAAGAAUUUAUAUAACUCAUCUGUGUAAAGUUCUUGGCAAUAAAACCCUCAGUGAGGAUUUUAUAAUUGGAUUAAAUAAUGCCACCAGCCUUCAGGAAGUGGCCUAACCAUUUCUAGGCCUUCUGUGAAGAAGAAACUCAAGAAUAAUCGAGGGAAUGAGAGAAAGAAUGUUUUCUCCUUUCAGAAAUUCUCAAACACACUAGUGUGUUCUGAGAAAUCAAAAUUUGCAUCUAAUUCACAAAAUAAAGAGCAAUGUGGUUGUUCCCAUACUUGCAAUUCUCUAUUUCAUUCUCCUCUUGGUAAGUCCAACCUAUUUUGGGUAGGCUCUGAGCAACUUGAGACCUGUUGUCUCUCCACUGGGCAAGUCUUUUCACAUAUAUUGAGAUUUAUUUUCUUGAAGCUAUAUGAGGGGAUUGGAGCCUGAAUUAUAUUUUGCAAAAUAGUUCUGGUGACAAUUUAUUUAGUGAGAACUGUCAUAGGGUGGCCUAAAUGUAUGCUUUUAAGGAAUAAUCACAAAAAGCAUAACUCAAUAUUUACACACAUUUCUGCACAGUGUUGAUGGCAUAACCACGUUAAAUAAUCGUUUUGUCAUGUAAAUGCUAUCACCUUCCCAAAAUCAACAGCAUAUUAUGUAUUAUGCUGAUGUAAACUGGAGAUCAAAGACUGGUCUGUGGGUCAUUCCAAAACAGUUACCCUCACCAGUGGUCCAACAUGGGCUUCUAGUUGUCAAAUUCAUCUGCUAAAACAUAAAAAAAUACAUACCAUCCUGCAUUUCACAUUACCUACCUGCAUCUUGUAUGAAGGCAAACUCCUUGUGCCUUUUUCUGGCAGCCUGUGAAACCUUUAAAUAUGGCGUGAAAUGAUUUGGCUCUGUAUCCCACCCCAAAUCUCAUGUCUAAUUGUAAUCCCCAGUGUUGGAGGAGGGGCCUGGUGGGAGGUGAUUAGAGCAUGGGGGUGGAAUUUCCCCUUGCUGUUCUCAUGACAG